GUUGGACUUUUAACUUAGUUAGCUUCAUGAAAUUAUCUAAAUACCAUUGUGACUAACAGUGCUUCCAAACAUGCCAAAACCAGCAACCCCACAACUCUGUUUUGAGCAGCAGAGUAAUAAUUAUAUGCAUCUGCUGGCACACCAGUAAUAUAUAUGAACCUUGGUGGCGGCGGUGUUGGUGGAGGCCGUGAUGGUGGUGGUGUUUGUGGUGGUGGAAGAUGCUCAUCACAGGGAUUUCCACAAGGACAUGAUCCACACUUGAUUUCAGUGUCUAACUUGCUAGAAGUUGUGGUGGCUUCAACUAGAGAUGAAAAUGAAAUGCAAAAAAGGAACAACAAUGUUGUGAGUUUUUUAGGACUACUCAAAAUAUGUGUUGGUGACAACAUUGUAUGACUAUGGACUUGGAAUUUGAUUCCUUUAGAGGCAAGGUUUAGAAAUAAAUAAGAGCUUGCAUGUGAAGCAGGGUUAUGUUCCUAGCUUACGUUUGUUGCAAGAAUAGUAUGCAUGCAGAAACUUGAUUUAAUUAACUCACUGGCUGAAUGUUUGUGUAAUUUUUUGGUAGUGUGCGUGUAUUUUUGUUGUAAAUGUAGAGCACCUUCACCUAUAAAUGUUGUAAAUGUAAUGUAAUUUUGUAUUUGUUUGUGUUUUGUGUGCAACUUCGAUUUUAUACACACUAGCAAACUAGCAUUAUAUAAAGAACAUUCUUGCCUUUUGCAUGAGGUAUACUGAUGAACUCAUGUAAAGGAAAGUUAAUGAAUUGGAGCAGUAAAUUUUUUUUACCAAUGGUAUCCUCUCAUCCUAUGUAUAAAGAACUAAUAUUUUUUGGAGUAUUUGAUUGUCCCUCCAUAUAAGUGUUGCUCCCAAGAAUCGAACUUUGACAUGUAGAUCUUUCUGGAGAUCUAGCACAACUUUAUACUAUUAGACCAACACCUAAUUAGUAUUGCAUAAUUUAUAACUGAGUAGUUAAUCAAAAUAUUUAAAUGAAUAGAAAAGAGAAAAAAUAAUUUGUGUGGGAGGUAAAAUACUUCUUUUACAUAUACUAUAGAUUGAAGUGCAUGGGAGUAGAUAUUAAAGUAUCUCAUAUUUUGAUAUGAUUUAGUCAUAUAGAUGUCACUUAAGUAUUGGCAUAAUCCUAUCACUAAUUAGUUCUCCUUUGUUUCAAAGUUGUUAGAAAAGUGAAAGUUAAAAAUAAUUAAAUUACACACUAUAGUUACUAGUUUCAAACAAAUUUUAAUAUAACUUCCAAGUCUAGUUUAUUUAUUAAUGUAAGAAAUCCAAAUCUUUCUUUAUUGGUGCUUCUAUCCAUUCUUUGCAUCUCUCAAAGGAUAGAACAUAAUGAUGGCCUCCUUCACUUGGCAUAAAGUGCAAAGCUGGCAAUAUUCUUCUCCUUACACGAUCAAUAUUGGCAUCUUAACUUAAUGUAGCUUACACUUAUCAUAGAAGUAUCUCAUAAUUAUCCUUUUUUUUUGUUAUGAACCUCUUCAACUUUUGAUCAGAAGGGGAGCACAAUAGUCUUUAUAAUUAAGCAAGGUUUAAUUUUUUGGUUUGAAUACUCUUGAGUUCCUUAGCUAGUUUAGUAAUCUACCCAAAAUGAUAAAUGAGACGGUUGUGUUUUAAGGUGCUUAAUUUGGUUUCUUCUUAAAUUUGGGUGAAGAGGUCGAGUGACUUACCUGACUAAAUUGAUCAAGUUCAACUUCUCUUCAAUACUAAAAUAUGAUAAUGAAUUUUUUUUAUAUUUUUUUAUUGGAAGUAUCAUAAUCAUAUCCAGUAUUAAACUCUUUAGUACUGGAGAGGAUCCUUACCCUUAUUAGAAUUUUAUUUGGCGAGUUAAUAAGUUCCCUUACGUAAUAAUUUGAAAUUUGACAAUACUUUUUUUUUAGUUUCAUUUAUCUUGUUGGAUGAUACUUUGGUUUUCAAACUCAAGUUGUUCAACUAGAAUUGAGUUUGAGGGAUGAUUAUGUUUUUACCUAGCUAUUAAGUUAUAAUUUGUUUUAUGAUUAGACUUAUUAAUACUUCAUAGUAUAUUUAUCCUAUUAAUAGGAAUAUUAUAUUAUACUCAAUAUAUAUGAAUAAUAUAUUUUUAGUUUAGUUUCUGGGAAAUGCAAAUUUCCUUUCUAGCCUUUUUUCUAACAAACUAAGAAAGGAAUCAUAGUGUUAAUUAAAGAAGUGUAAUACUAACCAUUCCUUUUGCACCUCUUGCAAAUUCUUGGCCACUUUGUAGCUGUAGAUCCAAGUCUCUAUUUGCAUCAGAUUCAUCUAUACCAACUUAUUAUAUAUCCAAAGUGUGGCUUGAGAAGGAAGGCAAAAACUACUUGCCAAGGCAAUGGGAACACUUCAUCAUUUACAAGAAAU
rnacentral:lncRNA from 1 species